GACGAACGCUGGCGGUGUGCUUAACACAUGCAAGUGGUGCGACGAACCAGAGCUUGCUCGUGGGGCAAAGCCGCGAACGGGUGAGUAACACGUGGGUAAUCUACCCCGAUGACCGGACAACCCGAGGAAACUCGGGCUAAUACCGGAUGUGGUACGGAGACAUAAGUCUCUUUACUAAAGGUAGCUUCGGCUUCCGCAUUGGGAGGGGCCGCGGCCCAUUAGCUAGUUGGUGGGGUCAAGGCCUACCAAGGCAACGAUGGGUAGCUGGUCUGAGAGGACGAUCAGCCACACUGGGACUGAGACACGGCCCAGACUCCUACGGGAGGCAGCAGUGGGGAAUCUUGCGCAAUGCGCGAAAGCGUGACGCAGCAACACCGCGUGAGGGAAGACGGCCUUAGGGUUGUAAACCUCUUUCAGAUGGGACGAAGGUGAUGCGGUGAAUAGCCGAUGUCAUUGACGGUACCGUCAGAAGAAGCUCCGGCUAACUACGUGCCAGCAGCCGCGGU
rnacentral:rRNA from 1 species